AUUUUAAGUUGUAGAAAUCGAAACCUAAUAAAACUUCUGUUGUUUCCGUUACAAUGCUGAGAGAUUUUUUAACAAAAAUAUUCAUCAGAAGAUUUUGACAUAAAAAUACGAAUGUUUUUAAAAUAGUUUUAUUCAAACAACAGACUGCUACUACUAUACGACUCCAAAAUAUCAAAGAAAAGGAUUAAUUAAUAUUAUUAUACAAUU
rnacentral:lncRNA from 1 species